rnacentral:misc_RNA from 1 species
GAUGAAGAACGUAGCGAAAUGCGAUACGUAAUGUUAAUUGCAGAUUUCAGUGAAUCAUCGAAUCUUUGAACGCACAUUGCGCCCGCUAGUAUUCUGGCGGGCAUGCCUGUUCGAGCGUCAUUUCAACCAUCAAGCCCUAGGCUUGCGUUGGAGCCCUGCGGCUGCCGCAGGCUCCCAAAUCCAGUGGCGGGCUCGUCGUCGUACCGAGUGUAGUAAACAUCCUCGCUCAGGGAACGUGACGGGUUCUUGCCGUGAAACCCCCCACAUAUCAAGGUUGACCUCGGAUCAGGUAGGAAUACCCGCUGAACUUAAGCAUAUCAAUAAGCGGAGGA